rfam:Oryza nivara chromosome 4, whole genome shotgun sequence.
AAAAACUUAAUUCCUGGGUUUCUGGGUCUAACGUUUGACCGUCCGUCUUAUUUUAAAAAACUAUAAAAAAUUUUAAAAAAUAAGUAUUAUUUAUGUUUUAUCAUAUAACAAUAAUGAAAAUACUAAUCAUAAAAAAAUUUCAUAUAAGACGGAUGGUCAAACAUUGGACACGGAAACCUA